UCCGGCGUAGCUCAGUUGGUAGAGCGGGUGACUGUUAAUCACUUGGUCGCAGGUUCGAGUCCUGCCGCCGGAG
rnacentral:tRNA from 1 species